UAACCUGCUAAAUAGUGGUGCCAACCUUGGUUGGUGAUCACUUCUUAGAGGGACUGACUACGAUUAGUGGUCGGAAGUUUGAGGCAAUAACAGGUCUGUGAUGCCCUGAUGUUCUGGGCUGCACGCGCGCUACACUGACAAAGACAGCAAGUAUACAACCUUGGGAAAGGUCUGGGCAAUCUUUUGAAACUUUGUCGUGCUGGGGAUAGACCAUUGCAAUUAUUGGUCUUCAACGAGGAAUUCCUAGUAAGCGCAUGUCAUCAGCAUGCGUUGAUUACGUCCCUGCCCUUUGUACACACCGCCCGUCGCU
rnacentral:rRNA from 1 species